GGAGGCGGAGGUUGCAGUGAGUUGAGAUCGCGCUACUGCACUCCAGUCUGGGCGACAGAGCAAGACUCCCUUUCCAAAAACAAGCAAAUGAAAAAAUAGAGUUUUCUCUAUCACACAAAUGGGAAGGUUUGUAUUGAAUGUUAUAUUUAUCCUCUAUCCAGUCUUGUCUUGGAGCACAAAGCAAAAAGGCCCAGCAUCCUCCACUAUCUUCUGAAAACUUGCCCUCAGGCCUGAGCAAGAGGGCUGCCCGGUUGCUUCCAUGUAGCCAGCCAGCAUAUGUGCAGGGCCAAGUCUAGAGGGAGGAGGGGGUGGCACAUGGAUGGUUUCGUUUAAUUGGAAGACAGUGGGUAGAUUGGAGCUGGCAUUUGAAGAUGUUGAGAGUUGUGGAUCAUGGGCAAGAAAAGCGCUGUUCUGGGACUGCGGGGCAGGAGAAGGAAACUGAUGCUUCUGAGGGUGAGUCUGAUGAGAUAACAUGCCUGUGUGUGGGCCUCAGGUUAGACAGUGCUGAGGUCUCCCGUCACUGGGCAUCCAGCUGGGUGCUACGGCCGUGGCUCCUGCCUUCUGCAGCCCUGUCAGGGCCCAAGGCCUUCCUCAUCAGCACUUGCUCCAGCCUACUCACUGGAGUUGUGUUCUGGGUGGGUGUGUAGAAUACUCGCACUCCUACUUGGGGCAUCAGGGAGCUCUCUAGCAAUUUCUUCUGCACCUAGGGAGAGCCCACUGCUAAAAAAGGCCUAGUCAAAUCCUCAGGUGUACAUGGACAUCAAGAUUGGGAACAAGCCGGCUGGCUGCAUCCAAACCCUCCUGCGUUCCGACGUCGUGCCCAUGACCACAGAGAAUUUUCUCUACAUGUGCACCCAUUUAAAGGACUCGGCUUCAAGGGAAGCAGCUUCCACCGCAUUAUCCCCCAGUUCAUUUGCCAGGGCAGUGAUUUCACAAACCACGGUGGCACCAGGGGUCUGCGCAGGCAUGGCACUAAGUGUCCCAUGGCACAUUUGGCCCUCAUGGAGGCCUCAAAAGGGCAGGACCAGCACCCUCUUCUACGGAGGAAGGAACGGGCACAGCAGGUACAUGAUGUGGUCAAAUUAACAAGAGGCAGAGGCCGGGUAAGUGGCUCACGCCUGUAAUCCUAGCACUUUGGGAGGCUGAGGCAGGAGGAUUGCUUGAGCUCAGGAGUUCAAGACUGGCCUGGGCAAAGUUUAAGACCGGCCUGGGCAACAUAGUGAG
rnacentral:lncRNA from 10 species